ensembl:miRNA
UAUUAGAUUGGUGCAAAAGUAAUUGCGGUUUUUGCCAUUACUUUCCAUGGCAAAAACCGCAAUUACUUUUGCACCUACCUAAUACUU